rnacentral:rRNA from 1 species
AACGAACGCUGGCGGCAGGCCUAACACAUGCAAGUCGAGCGCCCUUUCGGGGGAGCGGCGGACGGGUGAGUAACGCGUGGGAAUAUGCCCUUCUCUACGGAAUAGCCUCGGGAAACUGAGAGUAAUACCGUAUACGCCCUUUGGGGGAAAGAUUUAUCGGGGAAGGAUUAGCCCGCGUUGGAUUAGGUAGUUGGUGGGGUAAUGGCCUACCAAGCCGACGAUCCAUAGCUGGUUUGAGAGGAUGAUCAGCCACACUGGGACUGAGACACGGCCCAGACUCCGACGGGAGGCAGCAGUGGGGAAUCUUAGACAAUGGGGGCAACCCUGAUAUAGCCAUGCCGCGUGAGUGAUGAAGGCCUUAGGGUUGUAAAGCUCUUUCAGCUGGGAAGAUAAUGACGGUACCAGGAGAAGAAGCCCCGGCUAACUCCGUG